rnacentral:tRNA from 1 species
CGGGGUCUAGCUCAUUGGUAGAGCGCUCGCCUUAAAUGUGUGAGGCACUGGGUUUGAUCCUCAGCACCACAU